AGAACGAACGCUGGCGGCAUGCCUAAUACAUGCAAGUCGAACGAACUCUUCGGAGUUAGUGGCGCACGGGUGCGUAACGCGUGGGAAUCUGCCCCUUGGUUCGGAAUAACAGUUGGAAACGACUGCUAAUACCGGAUGAUGACGAAAGUCCAAAGAUUUAUCGCAGGGGAUGAGCCCGCGUAGGAUUAGCUAGUUGGUGAGGUAAGGCUCACCAAGGCAACGAUCCUUAGCUGGUCUGAGAGGAUGAUCAGCCACACUGGGACUGAGACACGGCCAGACCUCCGUACGGGAGGCAGCAGUAGGGAAUAGUGACGAAUGGGACGAAAGCCUGAUCAGCAAUCGCCGCGUGAGUGAUAGAAGGACGUUAGGGUUAGUAAACGCCUUACGUUUACCGAGUAUGUAUAA
rnacentral:rRNA from 1 species